rnacentral:misc_RNA from 1 species
CCGUACGAACCAGGUGAUGGCGUUGAUCGACAGGUGAAAGUGGGUGGCCCAGAUGUCGUUGCCACCACCGACCAGGAGCACGAAGUACAGCGUGAUCCAGGCGACGCCGAAGGCGGUGCGGGUCGGGACGUUGCGCGGGCGGUCCACGAGGUGGUGCUCGCGCUUGUCGCCGGUGAUCCAGGACUCGAUAAACGGGUAGACCGCGAUCGCGACCAGUACCAGCGGG